GAUGAACGCUGGCGGCGUGCCUAAUACAUGCAAGUAGAACGCUGAAGCUUGGUGCUUGCACCGAGCGGAUGAGUUGCGAACGGGUGAGUAACGCGUAGGUAACCUGCCUGGUAGCGGGGGAUAACUAUUGGAAACGAUAGCUAAUACCGCAUGACAACAGUUAUUGCAUGAUAACUAUUUAAAAGGGGCAAUUGCUCCACUACCAGAUGGACCUGCGUUGUAUUAGCUAGUUGGUGAGGUAACGGCUCACCAAGGCGACGAUACAUAGCCGACCUGAGAGGGUGAUCGGCCACACUGGGACUGAGACACGGCCCAGACUCCUACGGGAGGCAGCAGUAGGGAAUCUUCGGCAAUGGACGGAAGUCUGACCGAGCAACGCCGCGUGAGUGAAGAAGGUUUUCGGAUCGUAAAGCUCUGUUGUAAGAGAAGAACGAGUGUGAGAGUGGAAAGUUCACACUGUGACGGUAUCUUACCAGAAAGGGACGGCUAACUACGUGCCAGCAGCCGCGGUAAUACGUAGGUCCCGAGCGUUAUCCGGAUUUAUUGGGCGUAAAGCGAGCGCAGGCGGUUAGAUAAGUCUGAAGUUAAAGGCUGUGGCUUAACCAUAGUACGCUUUGGAAACUGCUUAACUUGAGUGCAAGAGGGGAGAGUGGAAUUCCAUGUGUAGCGGUGAAAUGCGUAGAUAUAUGGAGGAACACCGGUGGCGAAAGCGGCUCUCUGGCUUGUAACUGACGCUGAGGCCCGAAAGCGUGGGGAGCAAACAGG
rnacentral:rRNA from 1 species